UUUCCAAUAGUUUUAUGCCACAUC
rnacentral:miRNA from 1 species